AAUGCGAAAGUAUAUAAAAAGAUAAUUUCUGGAGUAAUGAUUUGUGAACAUAAAUACCGUCUCAUACGCCCAGCUGCCAACCAUUAAUUGUAUCGCUGGAUUAAACAAUAAUAGUGUUUUUUUUUAGUUGGAUCUGUUUUUUUAGUCGAGUGAUUUGUUAAUCAAUCACACAGAAUCGUCCGAGCGUUUUAAUGAGUGGGUUUUAUCUUUGAAGGAACUGAAGGAGCCGAUUCGCUUAAACGAACUGGAGGCGGUCUCUUUAAAUAUCCCAGAAUUCCUCACACCGCUCACACGUGUUCAUUGCUUUCUGCACAGUCGCACAAAGAUCACACGAUCGGUCAGACACAGCAUGGACGGACGCAGUAUGGGCGUUGAUUGUCCAUCUGAACCCCCUGACUGAAGAGAAACUUGCCAGUUUCUACUAUGUCUUCCCUGUAAAGGAUCUCCUAUUGGUUUGGCCCUGAGGCCACAGUUGUGCUGAAGAGUCCUUCUGUAACCAUUAACUGCCAAUGGCAAAGGCAGAGAAUGUAAGAACUACAGUCAUUAGGUGAGUAACUUGAGCAUAUCUUUUUUUUGCUUUCUCAUGAUCCCUUCUAUGCUUUGCCCACUGGAGGCUGUCUGUGUUUCUAGUGGUCAUAUCAGGGGGGUAGAGUAAGCUACUCUUGCUAAAACCUGGGUCAGAGGUCACUUCUCUGUGCUUGGAUCCUGUCGCAAGACACAUUCAUAUAAGAAUUUAAAUGCAGGCAGUGUUUAAUGAAUGCAUAACCUGGUUUGUUUGAGUUUAAAGUGAACCGAGAUUUUUCCUUUUCUCUUAACAGAUUCCAUUGAUGGUUUCAUUUCGGGGCACAUGUUUCCAGUGACAGACUUGUUCCUCGGAUGGGAUGCAGCUUGAGUAGAGCUCAAUUUUAUUGCCAUGUUUGGAGAAUGUAAAAUGAGUGUGUUAAACCAUGCGUUGAUGUAUUGCACAAUUUUGAAAGUUAUGCAUUUAUUGUUACCAAUAAAGAAAUAUGCUUGCUUGUA